rnacentral:misc_RNA from 1 species
AAAAACACAAGAAACAAAAUCUGACUGAAGAGUGGAGAUAUCCUGUAUAAUGCCCUAAAUACUGAUUGCAAUUGGGGAUCAGCUCAAAGCUGCAAUAAUCACAUUUGAGGAGUCUCCUUCCACUAUAAUUUGCUUGAAACCUCUUGUUUUUGCUAGAACUGGAGCCCCCCCUGCAUGCUAGUGCCUUUAAAACGAAAGGAUCUGUGAUGUUUGGGAAUCUUUUGCAAAACCAACCACAAGGCCUACUCCCUGAAUCUCUAGCUAGAGCAGCAAUCGAACUCCUAUUAGAUGCUGAAUUCAUAGCCCCACCAAUAUUGAUCUUAACAUAAUUAU